AGAGUCUUCUCUGCCCACUAGACCCCGACACAACCAACGCCAAUCACACCCCGAGCAUAGCUGCCCCACUAUAUACAUUUAAUGGAUAUUUAACUCCCUUUCUACUGUUUUUUUGUGUGAUUAUAAACAUCCUUGUAUAUAUUUAAAUCAUUAAUUUGUGCCAUAGCAACUAAACCAAGCUUGUUUCCAGACUGUAAAGGUUUGCAAAUUCCAGCUUCCUAAGUCUUUACUGAAAUAAUUCAGCAUGAUUUUUAAAUUUACUUAUAGUGCCUACCUUAUAGCCUGCAUUGUGGUAAAAACCAAAGCAGCUGAAGAAUGAUCCCUGCUUAUGAUGUAAAAAUGGAGGCAGAAGACCUAAAUCUAAGGCAAUAUACAAUUUAAUGUGACAAAAUUAUGAUAUAGAGGGUAUGUAAUUGCUGAAGGAAUUCCAAAGAAAAAAUAAAUAAAUUCUGACUUAGCUAA
ensembl:lncRNA novel transcript